rnacentral:rRNA from 1 species
AGAGUUUGAUCCUGGCUCAGGAUGAACGCUAGCGACAGGCCUAACACAUGCAAGUCGAGGGGCAGCGAAGAGGUAGCAAUACCUUUGUCGGCGACCGGCGCACGGGUGAGUAACACGUAUGCAAUCCACCUGUAACAGGGGGAUAACCCGGAGAAAUCCGGACUAAUACCCCAUAAUAUGGGCGCUCCGCAUGGAGAGCCCAUUAAAGAGAGCAAUUUUGGUUACAGACGAGCAUGCGCUCCAUUAGCCAGUUGGCGGGGUAACGGCCCACCAAAGCGACGAUGGAUAGGGGUUCUGAGAGGAAGGUCCCCCACAUUGGAACUGAGACACGGUCCAAACUCCUACGGGAGGCAGCAGUGAGGAAUAUUGGUCAAUGGUCGGCAGACUGAACCAGCCAAGUCGCGUGAGGGAAGACGGCCCUACGGGUUGUAAACCUCUUUUGUCGGAGAGUAAAGUACGCUACGCGUAGCGUAUUGCAAGUAUCCGAAGAAAAAGCAUCGGCUAACUCCGUGCCAGCAGCCGCGGUAAUACGGAGGAUGCGAGCGUUAUCCGGAUUUAUUGGGUUUAAAGGGUGCGUAGGUGGUGAUUUAAGUCAGCGGUGAAAGUUUGUGGCUCAACCAUAAAAUUGCCGUUGAAACUGGGUUACUUGAGUGUGUUUGAGGUAGGCGGAAUGCGUGGUGUAGCGGUGAAAUGCAUAGAUAUCACGCAGAACUCCGAUUGCGAAGGCAGCUUACUAAACCAUAACUGACACUGAAGCACGAAAGCGUGGGGAUCAAACAGGAUUAGAUACCCUGGUAGUCCACGCAGUAAACGAUGAUCACUAGCUGUUUGCGAUACAGUGUAAGCGGCACAGCGAAAGCGUUAAGUGAUCCACCUGGGGAGUACGCCGGCAACGGUGAAACUCAAAGGAAUUGACGGGGGCCC